rnacentral:rRNA from 1 species
CACUGCCCGUCACACCAUGGGAGCUGAUUUUAUCUUAAGUUGGUGAGCUAACCGCAAGGGGCAGCCAACCACGGUAGGAUGAGUGACUGGGGUG